rnacentral:sRNA from 1 species
UAUGUUUCAGGAAAUGCUCUAUGUACAGUGAAGUGUGAUGAGAAAGUGAAAGUGUUUUCUGUCCGUGGAACAUCCUUUGAAGCUGCAGCAACAAGUGGCGGUAGUGCCAGUUCAGAAAAGGCAUCAAGUACUUCACCAGUGGAAAUAUCAGAGUGGCUUGACCAGAAAUUAACAAAAAGUGAUCGACCAGAGCUAACAGGUGCCAAAGUGGUGGUAUCCGGUGGUCGAGGCUUGAAGAGUGGAGAGAACUUUAAGUUGUUAUAUGACUUGGCAGAUCAACUACAUGCUGCAGUUGGUGCUUCCCGUGCUGCUGUUGAUGCUGGCUUUGUUCCCAAUGACAUGCAAGUUGGACAGACAGGAAAAAUAGUAGCACCAAGGACAGAGAGAAAUGCUGUAUAGACUUGUAGUCCAG